rnacentral:rRNA from 1 species
UACAGAGGUCCCAAGCGUUGUUCGGAUUCACUGGGCGUAAAGGGUGCGUAGGUGGUCGGAUAAGUCUGAUGUGAAAUCUCCGAGCUCAACUCGGAAACGGCAUUGGAAACUAUUCGGCUUGAGGUCUGGAGGGGGGACUGGAAUUCUCGGUGUAGCAGUGAAAUGCGUAGAUAUCGAGAGGAACACCAGUGGCGAAGGCGAGUCCCUGGACAGGUCCUGACACUGAGGCACGAAAGCUAGGGGAGCAAACAGG